rnacentral:rRNA from 1 species
UACGAAGGGGGCUAGCGUUGUUCGGAAUCACUGGGCGUAAAGCGCACGCAGGCGGGUCGUUAAGUCAGGGGUGAAAUCCCGAGGCUCAACCUCGGAACUGCCCUUGAUACUGGCGAUCUUUGAGUCCGGGAGAGGUGAGUGGAACUCCGAGUGUAGAGGUGAAAUUCGUAGAUAUUCGGAAGAACACCAGUGGCGAAGGCGGCUCACUGGUCCGGUACUGACGCUGAGGUGCGAAAGCGUGGGGAGCAAACAGG